rnacentral:rRNA from 1 species
AAACUGAUCUUCCCGUGAAGAAGCGGGAAUAUACAUAUAAGACGAGAAGACCCCAUGGAGCUUUAAACCCAACAGCACCUAUUCUUUUUAAAUCCACUUAUUCUUAUAGUAAGUGCUUGCUUGGUUUUAGGUUGGGGUGACCGCGGAGUAAAAAUGAACCUCCACGAAAAAAGGCAUAAAAGCCUUAUCAAAGAAUCACACUUCUAUGAAUUAGUAAACUAAUUUUUGAUGAUCCGAUAUUCGAUCAACGAACCAAGUUACCCUGGGGAUAACAGCGCAAUCCACCUCAAGAGCUCCUAUCGACAAGUGGGUUUACGACCUCGAUGUUGGAUCAGGGUACCCCAGUGGUGCAGCAGCUACUAAAGGUUCGUUUGUUCAACGAUUAAAACCCU